GGACGACGCUGGCGGCGUGCUUAACACAUGCAAGUCGAACGGUGACCCAGGGCUUGCCCUGGUGAUCAGUGGCGAACGGGUGAGUAACACGUGGGCAACCUGCCCCUGACUUCGGGAUAACUCCUCGAAAGAGGAGCUAAUACCGGAUACGACCACUUCGGACAUCCGAUGGUGGUGGAAAGUUUUUCGGUCAGGGAUGGGCCCGCGGCCUACCAGCUAGUUGGUGGGGUAAUGGCCUACCAAGGCGACGACGGGUAGCCGGCCUGAGAGGGCGACCGGCCACACUGGGACUGAGACACGGCCCAGACUCCUACGGGAGGCAGCAGUGGGGAAUAUUGCGCAAUGGGCGAAAGCCUGACGCAGCGACGCCGCGUGAGGGAUGAAGGCCUUCGGGUUGUAAACCUCUUUCAGCAGGGACGAAGCGAAAGUGACGGUACCUGCAGAAGAAGCACCGGCUAACUACGUG
rnacentral:rRNA from 1 species